UGAGUACACUUUAAAUCCUUUAACAAGGAUCCAUUGGAGGGCAAGUCUGGUGCCAGCAGCCGCGGUAAUUCCAGCUCCAAUAGCGUAUAUUAAAGUUGUUGCGGUUAAAAAGCUCGUAGUUGGUUCUGCGUGCCGCGCUGUCGGUUCGCCGCCUGUCGGUGUUACUGGCAUGUCGCGGCAUGUCCUGUCGGUGGUGAAUGGAAUCCCCGGUGCUACGUAGGCUUUUAUUAGCUGAAGUUUGUACUGUGGUGAAUUCAUUUGCCGAUUUCUCCUACUCCGGUGCUCUUAAACGAGUGUCGAGGUAGGCCGACACGUUCACUUUGAACAAAUUAGAGUGCUUAAAGCAGGCUGAAAUAUCUGCCUGAAUAGUGGUGCAUGGAAUAAUAAAAUAGGACCUCGGUUCUAUUUUAUUGGUUUUAGGAAUAUGAGGUAAUGAUCAAUGUGGACUGGCGGGGGCAUUCGUAUUGCGACGUUAGAGGUGAAAUUCUUGGAUCGUCGCAAGACGCACUAGAGCGAAAGCAUUUGCCAAGUAUGUCUUAAUUGAUCAAGAACGAAAGUUAGAGGUUCGAAGGCGAUCAGAUACCGCCCUAGUUCUAACCAUAAACGAUGCCAGCCAGCGAUCCGCCGAUGUUCCUUUAAUGACUCGGCGGGGAGCUUCUACCCGGGAAACCAAAGCUUUUGGGUUCCGGGGGAAGUAUGGUUGCAA
rnacentral:rRNA from 1 species